rnacentral:rRNA from 1 species
UACGGGGGGGGCAAGCGUUGUUCGGAAUUACUGGGCGUAAAGGGUUCGUAGGUGGCGCACUAAGUCAGACGUGAAAUCCCUCAGCUUAACUGGGGAACUGCGUCUGAGACUGGUGGGCUUGAGUGCAGGAGAGGAACGCGGAAUUCCAGGUGUAGCGGUGAAAUGCGUAGAUAUCUGGAGGAACACCGGUGGCGAAGGCGGCAUCCUGGACCAACACUGACGCUGAGGAGCGAAAGCCAGGGGAGCAAACGGG